AGAGUUUGAUCAUGGCUCAGGACGAACGCUGGCGGCGUGCCUAAUACAUGCAAGUCGAGCGAAUCUUAAGGUGCUUGCACCUUAUGGUUAGCGGCGGACGGGUGAGUAACACGUGGGCAACCUGCCUGUAAGACUGGGAUAACUUCGGGAAACCGGAGCUAAUACUGGAUAAUCCUUUUCCUCUCAUGAGGAAAAGUUGAAAGUCGGUUUACGCUGACACUUACAGAUGGGCCCGCGGCGCAUUAUCUAGUUGGUGAGGUAACGGCUCACCAAGGCGACGAUGCGUAGCCGACUUGAGAGGGUGAUCGGCCACACUGGGACUGAGACACGGCCCAGACUCCUACGGGAGGAAGCAGUAGGGAAUCUUUGGCAAUGGAUGAAAGUUUGACGGAGCAACGUCGCGUGAGCGAUGAAGGCCUUCGGGUCGUAAAGCUCUGUUGUUAGGGAAGAACAAGUACCGGAGUAACUGCCGGUACCUUGACGGUACCUAACCAGAAAGCCACGGCUAACUACGUGCCAGCAGCCGCGGUAAUACGUAGGUGGCAAGCGUU
rnacentral:rRNA from 1 species